GAUGAACGCUAGCGGGAGGCUUAACACAUGCAAGUCGAGGGGUAUAGUAGCAAUACUAGAGACCGGCGCACGGGUGAGUAACGCGUAUGCAACCUGCCCUUUACAGGGGGAUAGCCCGUCGAAAGGCGGAUUAAUACCCCCUAAUAUUGUACCAUCGCAUGAUGGAACGAUAAAAGCUGCGGCGGUAAAGGAUGGGCAUGCGUGACAUUAGCUUGUUGGUAGGGUAACGGCCUACCAAGGCUACGAUGUCUAGGGGUUCUGAGAGGAAGGUCCCCCACCCUGGUACCGAGACACGGACCAGACUCCUACGGGAGGCAGCAGUGAGGAAUAUUGGUCAAUGGGCGCGAGCCUGAACCAGCCAUCCCGCGUGCAGGAAGACGGCCCUAUGGGUUGUAAACUGCUUUUGUGCAGGAAGAACGCCAGGUACGUGUACUUGGGUGACGGUACUGCAUGAACAAGCACCGGCUAACUCCGUGCCAGCCGCCGCUGUAAAAC
rnacentral:rRNA from 1 species